CCGAGUUUACAACUCCCAAACCCAAUGUGAACGUUACCAAACUGUUGCCUCGGCGGGAUUUCUGCCCCGGGGCGCGUCCCAAGCCCCGGACCAAGGCGCCCGCCGGAGGACCAAUUUACAAACUCUUGUAUGUCCCUCUGCGGAUUUUUAUUAUACAUUCUGAGCUUUCUCGGCGCUCCUACGCGAGCGUUUCGAAAUGAAUCA
rnacentral:misc_RNA from 1 species